CAAUAAAAGUGAUUUUAUAUGGCACUUUUAAAAAAAUCCAUAUCCACCUUGUGUGCAAUGUUUUUUUUUUUUUAUAAUCAACUCUUUAAUUAAACCAAUUGUCUGAAAAACGAUAUUUCUGAAUUACUUAAUUCAAAAUA
rnacentral:misc_RNA from 1 species